CAGAUCUGUAGCUACAAUACCCUGUUCGUUUCUUCCUCCCUCAGCUCCACCCCUUUUGCCUGGGCCGCAUAAGCCUCCAUCGUUCCCCGCCCUCCGCCGCCUCCAGUCAGCAGUCUCCCUCCUCCGACCAAGGCGCUCUCGCCGGCAGCUAUCACCAGGCGAAGGGGCUCUCUUCUCCUCAUUCCAUCUACCAACUGGCGCGGCGCGAGGAACUAACCGUCAAGGCGUAUUUCCUAUUGGUGGUAAAUAAGGAAGCCCUAGCUUUCCCAGGUUGCAGUAUUGGGUGACAGCUUCCUGUAUCAUCCGGUUGCUUCCCCGCGUGACAGCUACACUCCAUUCUGCUCCGCUAUCGGUCAGCUCCAUUGAGAAUCUAGAUGUGCUUGUCUUCGCGAAUGUUCGAUGGGAAGACACGCUCCUUCUCCAUUACUAGAAAGGCUUUCCCUGAAAGUAAAUACGUCCUCCCUGUCCCAAUCUCCCGCCUAGCCCACCGUCAUCUCCCCCUUCUCCUAUCCUAUGCAACCGUCUCGGGUCUUUUGCUCAAGGUACCCUUGCUCCACUCUGUCCUUCGCUCACUCUCCACAGGUCCUGUCCCAUCUCUCUCCCUCUCAUUCCUCUCCCUACUCCGCCGGUCUGGCUACAUGCCCAUCGAUAACUACUCCCUUAGCGCUGCUCUUUCUACCGCCGCCCGCAUGCCCUCCGUUGUUGUUGGUGCCCAGCUCCAUACCCUUUCUGUGAAACUCGGCUUAAGUUCUGAUACCUUUGUCCUUAAUACUCUUAUCAAUAUGUACUCGUCUUGUAGUUAUCCAUCUACUGCAAGAUCAGUUCUUGAUUCUGCUCCCAAAGGAGCCUCUGAUACAGUUUCUUGGAAUACAAUCAUUGCUGGAUACGUACAUGCUGGGCUGCCUAAUAAGGCAUUGCAGGCUUUUAGCCAAAUGGCCAAGGCGCAAGUUAUGCUGGAUGAGGUCACCUUGCUGAAUGCUCUAGUUGCUUGUGCAAGGACAUGCAUGAUGAAGGUCGGAAAGCUCUGUCAUGCACUACUUGUGACAAAUGGUUUUGAGAUUAACUGUUAUAUGGGUUCCUCUUUGAUUAGUAUGUAUGCAAAGUGUGGGCUUGUUGAAGAUGCUCGCAGGGUUUUUGAUGGAUUGCCUGAGAGGAAUGCGGUUUGCUGGACCUCAAUGAUUUCUGGAUAUACACAGUUAGGUCAGUCUAAAGAGGCUGUUAAGCUAUUCAGAGAGAUGCAAAUUGCUGGAGUGAAAGUUGAUGAUGCAACAAUUGCUACUGUUGUAUCUUCAUGCGGCCAGAUGGGAGCACUGGACUUGGGACGGUAUGUCCAUGCUUACUGUGACAUUCAUGGUUUAGGGAAGGAUAUUUCUGUGAAAAAUUCAUUGAUUGACAUGUACUCAAAGUGUGGGGAUAUAAAUAAGGCCUAUGAUAUAUUUUGUGGAAUGGUCAAGCGGGAUGAUUUUUCCUGGACAGUGAUGAUAAUGGGCUUUGCUGCAAAUGGCCUCUCUGGUGAGGCAUUAGAUUUGUUUGCGCAGAUGGAAGAAGAGGGUGAAGUCAUGCCGAAUGAGAUAACUUUCUUGGGUGUCCUAACUUCUUGCAGCCAUGGAGGAUUAGUUGAACAAGGAUACCAUCACUUCCAUCGCAUGUCCAGUAUUUACGGUAUUGCCCCAAGGAUCGAACACUAUGGAUGCAUGGUUGAUCUCCUGGGCCGUGCUAAGUUAUUGGCAGAGGCAGAACAGUUCAUUAAAGAGAUGCCUAUCGCUCCUGAUGUUGUAAUGUGGCGGUCGUUGUUGUUUGCCUGCAGAGCCUGUGGAGAGGUGGGACUUGCAGAGUAUGUAGCAGAAAGGAUCCAAGUAUUGGAGCCAAACAGGUGUGGAGGGGACGUUUUACUUUCUACUGUCUAUGCAACCACAUCAAGGUGGGUUGAUGCAAACAAAGUGAGGACAGGAAUAUACAGUAGCAGAAAGACCAAGCAGCCUGGUUGCUCUUUCAUUGAAGUGGAUGGAUGCGUGCAUGAGUUCUUUGCAGGGGACGAGUCACAUUUUGAAACUGAAGCUAUAUACAACACUCUUUUGGGAAUUAAUGAACUGUUAGUAGCAGAGUCCUUCCUGAUGUGAAAGCUAAUACUCCCUCCGUUCGGAAUUACUUGUCUCGGAUAUGGAUGUAUCUAGAACUAAAAUAUGUCUAGAUACAUCCAUUUCUGCGACAAGUAAUUCCGAAUGGAGGGAGUACAUUUCUAUGGGUAUCAUGUGCCCGCUCACCUGUAUCACUGUGUUGGUCAUGGGAAUGUAAAACCAGCAGCCUGAAAGUUCCAAACUCCAGAAUUUAGUUAUUUACUUGAACUGGGCCAUGGAUUGGAAGAAUCAAACUCCACAGGGUAAAGUGCUGAUGAUGAGUCCGUGCUUUUUGCCCCAGAAGCUGACUUUUAUGUUUGAAUAGUUGCACAUUGUCAUUUCACUAAAACUCGGGUUGGCUUUAAAAGGUCAAAUUGCACAAGUGAUUGUUGAAUUUCUAGAGGUAGCUGUCAGCUCCAUUGUCUUCCUCAAAGGUUUCUAUCCCACUCGUGCAUUUGAGAGGAGAAGGUACAUGAAUCUAGUUGUCCAGAAAGCUGUGCACCCCCAGCUUGCUGACUACAUCCACUCUGUGACUACUGGCCUUCUACCUUUCAUACAAAAGGGACUGGUUGAGAGGGUCGUAGUAAUCUUCCACGACAAAGAUCAUGUACCACUCGAGAAGUUUGUGUUCAAGCUUGCAGUCAACCAAUCCUAUGGCUCCGAGUUAG